rnacentral:rRNA from 1 species
AUUGAACGCUGGCGGCAGGCCUAACACAUGCAAGUCGAGCGGAUGAAGGGAGCUUGCUCCUGGAUUCAGCGGCGGACGGGUGAGUAAUGCCUAGGAAUCUGCCUGGUAGUGGGGGAUAACGUCCGGAAACGGGCGCUAAUACCGCAUACGUCCUGAGGGAGAAAGUGGGGGAUCUUCGGACCUCACGCUAUCAGAUGAGCCUAGGUCGGAUUAGCUAGUUGGUGGGGUAAAGGCCUACCAAGGCGACGAUCCGUAACUGGUCUGAGAGGAUGAUCAGUCACACUGGAACUGAGACACGGUCCAGACUCCGACGGGAGGCAGCAGUGGGGAAUAUUGGACAAUGGGCGAAAGCCUGAUCCAGCCAUGCCGCGUGUGUGAAGAAGGUCUUCGGAUUGUAAAGCACUUUAAGUUGGGAGGAAGGGCAGUAAGUUAAUACCUUGCUGUUUUGACGUUACCAACAGAAUAAGCACCGGCGAACUUCGU